UACAGAGGGUGCUAGCGUUGUUCGGAAUCAUUGGGCGUAAAGGGCGUGUAGGCGGUUUGUUAAGUCAUGUGUGAAAUCCCUCGGCUCAACCGGGGAACGACGCAUGAAACUGGCAGCUAGAGUACCAAAGAGGGGGGUGGAAUUCCCGGUGUAGCGGUGAAAUGCGCAGAUAUCGAGGAAGACACCCGUGGCUAAGGCGGUCCCUGUCGUAGUACGUACUGCGUCUGAGAACGCGGGAAGCAGUGGGGAGUCGAACAACGGAUAGAUCCCUGUAGCAU
rnacentral:rRNA from 1 species